GAAUUGACAGGUGUGUUAAACGCAAAUCUGACGCCUUGCCUGCUUCCAACGUGACUAAACUUCACGGGAGAUAACCCCAAAACUGCAGAGUCAUCCUGACUCAUUCUGAUUCCCAAAAUAAUAACAUCUUGAGUAUUAACUUGGAAUCCCCUCAAAACAAUUUUAGCCCGAAUAUUUGCCUUGCGGGUGUCUGUAGGUUACGACCUUUGUAAGCAUGAUGAUCAUCCGAGAAAGUGAGGAAGCUGAUCUGAAUCAUUAAGAAAUUUGCCCGUACGGCCAGCAAGUGACAGAGCUUGGUGAGGUACCUGGGCAUUCCAGCUUCAGAGCCAGCACCUGUGACCACCGUGUUCUCCUGAUUCCUUGUCUUGCUCAUUUGGCUGUGAGCUCCCCUGAGGAAGGGCGAGAUGAGGCCCUGGUCCACCCAUCUGCACUCUGUGACUUGCCUGAGAUGUUCCUUCAUAUCUGGCAUUCUCCUAGCAUCUGUGCCCUACGUAAUCUGUUGACAGAGGAGGAAACUGAGGCACAGAAAGGUUGGGAAGUACACCCAGGAGCGCAUCAGUAAGUUAUGCAGCAGGGCUUCCCACCAGACGCCAUCCUAACGGGCACUGAUGCCACAUUGUCGCACACAACGGGUCAACAACCACUUCAUCACGCCGGG